UACGUAGGGUGCGAGCGUUGUCCGGAAUUAUUGGGCGUAAAGAGCUCGUAGGCGGUCUGUCACGUCGGCUGUGAAAACCCGGGGCUCAACCCCGGGCCUGCAGUCGAUACGGGCAGACUAGAGUGCGGUAGGGGAGACUGGAAUUCCUGGUGUAGCGGUGAAAUGCGCAGAUAUCAGGAGGAACACCGGUGGCGAAGGCGGGUCUCUGGGCCGUAACUGACGCUGAGGAGCGACAGCGUGGGGAGCAAACAGG
rnacentral:rRNA from 1 species